rnacentral:lncRNA from 1 species
GCUGAGGGGCCGGAGGGCCCGGAGCUGAGGUGCUCCGGUCUGAGAUGCUGAGGACUCAGGAUUGAGGGAUGGAAGAUAAGAGGUGUGCUGGCUGCUGAAUGCAGAAAAACUGCAGUUCUUGCAUUGCUGGAAGAGAAAUGCAGACUCAGAAUUCCUGAAGUGGUGGGACAAGAGAGACAAGAGGUCAAUUAGUGCACAAAGAUUGUCAGUCAGGUACAGAAAAUUAAAUUUCAGAUAGACCAGGUUUUGUUAUAGCUUCUUGUAUACAUCACUGUAAGAAACCUUAAAAUACAUCAGCACAGAUAUCAUCAUUCAUAACUAUGAACUGCUUUUUGCUUUUUUGAAUUUAAUCAAGUAUGUUUG